AUUGAACUCAUUGUCACAGGAAUGAUCCUGGGAAUAAAAUAUUGUCUUGAAGAAUCUCCUACACUCCAUGUUCCUACAUCUUCUCUACCCAUGCCAAGCCCCUGUCUAACUUUCUCCAUUCAGAGCAUGUAACCACUAGUGAAACAGAGAGAAGUCUCUACUUUAGAGUGAUGUAGUACAUACAGGUUUCCACUGUGUUACCGGAGACAUACCUCAUAAGGGCACUCUCGAAUCUGGACAAUGUAAGGAAAGGUGUUCAUCAUGUAGACCACCGUAUUUCUCAGUGACAUCAUCAUUAGGAACUCCAUGAAAACUCUCUUAUAACCUGGUGAGCCCUACCUCCUUAUGUUGUCAUGACUGCAACUGCCUCUCAGAUUUUCCUUCAAUACCUCUAAGAGCAGGCAACCACUAAUGAAGCACAGAGAACUCUCUAAUUUUAGAGUGAUGUAAUAAGUAAAGGUUUCCACAGCAUCACAGGAGCGUAAUCUGGAAAGAGCACCGCCAAAUCUGGUCAAUGUAAAGACAGCUCUCCAGCAGAUCCAAACGAUGUAACUCAUAAAACCAUCUUGGAACUUUAUUUGCAAAAAGAAAAUCACCGAAUAGAAACAAGUGAUGGGCUAGAGAGACAAGCCAGUCCUAAAGAGCAAUGGCUGCUCUUGCAGAGGACCCGAGUUCCAUUCCCAACAACCACGUGGCAGAUGACAACCAUCCAUGAGUCCAGUUCGAAUGGAUCAGACAUCCUUUUCUGAUCUCUAAGCAUAUCAUAUUCAUAUAGCACACACACAAAGGUGCAAGUACAUAUAAAAUAACAAAAUAAAUCAAAAAGAAAAUUUAAAUAAAAACAAGU